UACGUAGGGUGCGAGCGUUGUCCGGAAUUAUUGGGCGUAAGGGCUCGUAGGCGGUUUGUCGCGUCGGGAGUGAAAUCCAUUGGCUUAACUGUGGCUUGCUUUCGAUACGGGCAGACUGGAGGUAUGCAGGGGAGAACGGAAUUCCUGGUGUAGCGGUGAAAUGCGCAGAUAUCGGAAGGAACACCAGUGGCGAAAGCGGCUCCUGGUCCAGCACCGA
rnacentral:rRNA from 1 species